rnacentral:rRNA from 1 species
GACGACGUCGAUCCCGACGUCCUGCUCGAAGAGAUCGCGCGAGAUGCCGAGCUCGCGCAGUUGGAACCACGGUCUGAAUGAACAUGCUCAACUGUUUCAUCCCUGCGUUGGCGUUCUUGUUUCAGGAAGCUGACAGCAGUCGUCUGGCGCU